rnacentral:rRNA from 1 species
AUACGGAGGGAGCGAGCGUUAAUCGGAAUUACUGGGCGUAAAGGGCGCGCAGGCUGUUUCGUUAGUCAGGCGUGAAAUCCCCGGGCUCAACCCGGGAACUGCGCUUAUUACUGAUAAACUAGAGUCCGGGAGAGGGUGGCGGAAUUCCCAGUGUAGAGGUGAAAUUCGUAGAUAUUGGGAAGAACACCAGUGGCGAAGGCGGCCACCUGGCCCGGUACUGACGCUGAGGUGCGAAAGCGUGGGGAGCAAACAGGAUUAGAAACCCCGGUAGUCC